ACUCCUGCGGGAGGCAGCAGUGGGGAAUAUUGCACAAUGGGCGCAAGCCUGAUGCAGCCAUGCCGCGUGUAUGAAGAAGGCCUUCGGGUUGUAAAGUACUUUCAGCGGGGAGGAAGGCGAUAAGGUUAAUAACCUUGUCGAUUGACGUUACCCGCAGAAGAAGCACCGGCUAACUCCGUGCCAGCAGCCGCGGUAAUACGGAGGGUGCAAGCGUUAAUCGGAAUUACUGGGCGUAAAGCGCACGCAGGCGGUCUGUCAAGUCGGAUGUGAAAUCCCCGGGCUCAACCUGGGAACUGCAUUCGAAACUGGCAGGCUAGAGUCUUGUAGAGGGGGGUAGAAUUCCAGGUGUAGCGGUGAAAUGCGUAGAGAUCUGGAGGAAUACCGGUGGCGAAGGCGGCCCCCUGGACAAAGACUGACGCUCAGGUGCGAAAGCGUGGGGAGCAAACAGGAUUAGAAACCCCUGUAGUCCCA
rnacentral:rRNA from 1 species